GGGGUUAUAGCUCAGUGGUAGAGUGCCUGCCUAGCAUAGGUAAGGAUCUGGGUUUGAUUCCCAGCACCACCA
rnacentral:tRNA from 1 species